rnacentral:rRNA from 3 species
GGUUGAAGGUUGGGUAACACUAACUGGAGGACCGAACCGACUAAUGUUGAAAAAUUAGCGGAUGACCUGUGGCUGGGGGUGAAAGGCCAAUCAAACCGGGAGAUAGCUGGUUCUCCCCGAAAGCUAUUUAGGUAGCGCCUCGUGAAUUCAUCUCCGGGGGUAGAGCACUGUUUCGGCUAGGGGGCCAUCCCGGCUUACCAACCCGAUGCAAACUGCGAAUACCGGAGAAUGUUAUCACGGGAGACACACGGCGGGUGCUAACGUCCGUCGUGAAGAGGGAAACAACCCAGACCGCCAGCUAAGGUCCCAAAGUCAUGGUUAAGUGGGAAACGAUGUGGGAAGGCCCAGACAGCCAGGAUGUUGGCUUAGAAGCAGCCAUCAUUUAAAGAAAGCGUAAUAGCUCACUGGUCGAGUCGGCCUGCGCGGAAGAUGUAACGGGGCUAAACCAUGCACCGAAGCUGCGGCAGCGACACUGUGUGUUGUUGGGUA